rnacentral:rRNA from 1 species
UACAGAGGUCUCAAGCGUUGUUCGGAUUCAUUGGGCGUAAAGGGUGCGUAGGCGGCGCGGUAAGUCGGGUGUGAAAUCUCGGGGCUUAACUCCGAAACUGCAUUCGAUACUACCGUGCUUGAGGACUGGAGAGGAGACUGGAAUUUACGGUGUAGCGGUGAAAUGCGUAGAUAUCGUAAGGAAGACCAGUGGCGAAGGCGGUUCUCUGGGCCUUACCUGACGCUGAGGAGCGAAAGCGUGGGGAGCGAACAGG